CUCAGGAUUUGCAGACUUUAUUUUAAUGUCUUCUCAAGUAAUUUCAACUGAAAGAAUUAGCAAUAGUUAUAAGUGAACUUAACUGGAAAUUCAACUAAUGGUUUAUGGAGCUGAACAAAUCAAGUUUACUUCUAACAUACCAAGAAGUGUGGAAUUGGAGUUUUUCUUUGUGCCAUAGCUCACUGAGGAGAUAUGCAUUCGCAGAAACAAGUCAGUUUUUGUGGCAGGAGGAAGCUUUGGGAAGCAUCUGUAAAGACUUCAAGGACGUCCUUCUGGUUCUUCAACAAAACUGCUUCCAGUCAAAUGUCCUUGGCCAAUACUGCAUUGAAUGUGCUCGAGCAGCACAAGAGGCUGGGGGAAAGUGGUGAGCCAGGCAGCCCUGUGGAGGCAUGUGACUAGGAACUGAAGUCCUUACUUCAUCCAACUACUCUUUCUGAGGCUGCCAGUGUCCACACGAGUAAAUUUGAAGUGAAUCUCUAGCUGUUGCCACUGGGGACAGCUUGACUGCAACCUCUUGAGAGACCUUGAGCCCCAGUCUCACAGGGGGCAGCCAGUUGCCUUAGUGGUGAUUCCAGAGGUGUGCAACAAAUAAUUGAUCAGAAAUGCCACUUUUCAGAAGUAACUAAUACAAGUAUCAUACUGUUAGAAAACAAUGAGGAGCAAACUCCCAAGUGGCAAAUGACAUCCUGAAUGAUCUGUAACCCUUGACUUUUCCAAACUCCACCCUAUUUCCCACCUGAGAUUACAAGGCCUGAGGACAACUCCCAGAAUGCCAUGAACUUCCCUCUCUGAAUGGGUGGGUGCUGCUGGCCUGAAGUGGAGCUGAAGGGCCAUGUUGGACUUAAAAGACAACAGGCUGGCCUUGUUCUCUUGCUUCCCGGCUUUGACUUACAUCUUCGUCAGGCUCAGAUGCUAUUGAUGAUAGGAUAAAUGAGUCAUCUAAUCUCUUUAUCUCCAUUCUCCCUCUUCUUACUCCCUUUGUAAAUUAUUGUUUUGAUUCUCUCUGCAUGUCUGCUUUUGGACCUUUUCCUGAGUUCUUAAGUCCACAGGUAAGACUUACAACCCAAAUCACCCCCACUUUUCCUGGGGUUGCCCUGGAGCAAUAGA